GAUGAAGAACGCAGUAAAAUGCGAUGAGUAAUGUGAAUUGCAGAAUUCAGUGAAUCAUCGAAUCUUUGAACGCACAUUGCGCCCGCUGGUAUUCCGGCGGGCAUGCCUGUUCGAGCGUCAUUUCAACCCUCAAGCCCCCGGGUUUGGUGUUGGGGAUCGGCUCUGCCCUUCUGGGCGGUGCCGCCCCCGAAAUACAUUGGCGGUCUCGCUGCAGCCUCCAUUGCGUAGUAGCUAACACCUCGCAACUGGAACGCGGCGCGGCCAUGCCGUAAAACCCCAACUUCUGAAUGUUGACCUCGGAUCAGGUAGGAAUACCCGCUGAACUUAAGCAUAUCAAUAAGCGGAGGA
rnacentral:misc_RNA from 1 species